UUAAGCUUUAAAAAAAAAGAGAGAGAGAACUAGUUCAAAAAAAGAGAAAGAGAAUGAGAAAGAGAGAGAGCUGCUGACGAAUUGGGUCAACCCAACCCAUAAAACUAACCCGGACGGAUCUCGUAAUUUUGGCCACCUCAUUGGCUGAGCAAAGUACCAAACAAAAGCUUGUGAGCUAGCCAUCACUUCCCUGCUGUCAUCGUUGCCAAACACCCAUCGAAAAGCCGCUGAUGGAAGCUUGAAAACCUGCGACUUUUUCACCUCAAUUCGUCAU
rnacentral:lncRNA from 1 species